rnacentral:tRNA from 1 species
GCCGACGUAGCUCAACCGGCAGAGCACCCGCCUUGUAAGCGGGGGGUUACGGGUUCAACUCCCGUCGUCGGCUCCU